CCUCCCCUCCUGAUCCUUUCAGACAAUUCCUACCAGAAUGUGGGCAGAGAGCACUGACUUGGUUUUGGUCACUUCUUUCUCCAAGGGAUGAUAACUUCUAUCACAGAGUGCUGCUUUGAGCAGUCCCAGGGAGGUCUGUUGUCUGUCCAUCUCUGCUUGUCACCCCGUAUCUUUGCUGCCUUCCCAUUAAAUACAAGGAUGGGGAUUUCUCAGCUUGCUGGGAAAGUGCUGCCGGUGCUUAACUACUCAGACUUGUUCAGAGCACUCGGGGUGCCCCUGAAGGAGGCAUGUUUUUUCUCCAAACCUCAGGUGUGCUGGAGUGCCCAGGUGUUUCCUCUCCUCUUGGAGAACUGUAGUGGAAAUGCUAAGUCACAGCUUGAAGCAGUUACUGAGCACCUGGUGGAAAGGCAGGGCCAACCCAGGGGAGCUCAGGUGCAUGCAAUGCACCCCUUCCUAGACCUCAUUUAAGGGCUGGCAGUGGAGACAAAGGUAGCUUGCUGGAGAUCCCUGCCUACCUGAGGCCUUCCAAGGGUAAGUAGAUUCUUUCUAUUAUUUCUUUAUCCACAGACUUUGCUACUUUGCUGCCGUUGCUGUGCUUUCCGUUGUGUUAUAGCGUUACAAGGACAUAGGAAUUGCAGUCUUCUUCCCCUCCUGUUUGUCUGAGUGGCUGUGGUAGUUUUGGUGGCAAGUAGCAAUGAUUGUGCAGCCCGUUGACUUCAGAGAUGAACUUGGUUCAGGGAAUGAGGAUCUAAGCCCAUCCCUGUAGCUCCCUGCAGGAAUGCAGAGUUAUCCAGGGGAAAGGGCAAUAGCAUCAGAAUGACUAAUGCUGCUGAAGGGAGGGACUGGGCUUGGAGAAGUUCAGACUCUACUCAGGCUGUUGGGACUUGCAAGCAGUGCUUCGUAGAACAUCGCUGUGCUGCAGGAGCUAGCAGUGAGACAGGCAUCUCAGAGGCUUGGGCUAUCAUGGUCAAAUACAUGGCAGAGAUGGCACCUUCCCAUGUAGCAGCAGGUGGUGUGCUGACGGACCCAUCUGCUGGUGGUGACACAGAAUUGUUCUUGCUCGCUGCAGGAAGCCGGGUUUUGUCUGGGCUCAGUUCUCGGGGCUGCUCCUGCUGGGGCUGCCUGCGUUGGCAGAACAGGUUUUGUUUCACCUUCGAAGCUAAAACAGAUUUGACACAAUGAAUUUAUUAAGAUAAGAGAGGCCACGCUGGCAAACAGUUUGUCGUAGCCGAGGCCUGUUUUGAAUCAAGACAACGUGUCUGCCUGCUUCAUGGGGUCAGGUUGGAAACCAGAUGGGCUACUGGGAAUAACCAGGGUCAUCCCAAUACCAUUCGUGCGAGGCCGCGGCAGUGAUGAAUUGUGUGAGGCUGUGCAGAGACCUGCUCCAGAGGGAAG
rnacentral:lncRNA from 1 species